rnacentral:rRNA from 1 species
CCUACGGGAGGCAGCAGUGGGGAAUUUUGGACAAUGGGCGCAAGCCUGAUCCAGCCAUGCCGCGUGAGUGAAGAAGGCCUUCGGGUUGUAAAGCUCUUUCGGCAGGAACGAAAUGGUUCGUGUUAAUACCACGGACUGAUGACGGUACCUGAAGAAGAAGCACCGGCUAACUACGUGCCAGCAGCCGCGGUAAUACGUAGGGUGCAGGCGUUAAUCGGAAUUACUGGGCGUAAAGCGUGCGCAGGCGGUUUCUUAAGUCAGAUGUGAAAGCCCCGGGCUUAACCUGGGAACUGCGUUUGAAACUGGGAGACUUGAGUGUGGCAGAGGGGGGUGGAAUUCCACGUGUAGCAGUGAAAUGCGUAGAUAUGUGGAGGAACACCGAUGGCGAAGGCAGCCCCCUGGGUUAACACUGACGCUCAUGCACGAAAGCGUGGGGAGCAAACAGGGAUUACGAUACCCUGGUAGUCCACGCCCUAAACUAUGUCAACUGGUUAUCGGGGGAUUGAUUCCCUUGGUAACGAAGCUAACGCGUGAAGUUGACCGCCUGGGGAAUACGGCCGCAAGGUUUAAAACCNCAAAAGAGUAGUCGGACGNGAGAGAGCGACGACGACGACGACGGAGGAGGAG